rnacentral:rRNA from 1 species
UACGUAGGUGGCAAGCGUUGUCCGGAUUUACUGGGUGUAAAGGGCGUGUAGCCGGGCUGACAAGUCAGAUGUGAAAUCCCGUGGCUCAACCACGGAACUGCAUUUGAAACUGUCGGUCUUGAGUACUGGAGAGGCAGACGGAAUUCCUAGUGUAGCGGUGAAAUGCGUAGAUAUUAGGAGGAACACCAGUGGCGAAGGCGGUCUGCUGGACAGCAACUGACGCUGAGGCGCGAAAGCGUGGGUAUCGAACAGG